UAGUUCCUGAAGAACCACUGAUGCCCCGGUUGAAGAGCACGACCUUCCCAGACAGAAGGAGGACUGUCCUUUGUCAAGGGUAUAUGAGUAGCUGGGCUCCCCUGCUAGAACCUCCAAACAAGUCUCAAGGCCCACUGGGACUUCGUAACAAAGAAAAC
rnacentral:sRNA from 1 species